rnacentral:piRNA from 1 species
UUGGAAAUAGUUAACUGGUACUGU